rnacentral:rRNA from 1 species
CCUACGGGAGGCAGCAGUGAGGAAUAUUGGUCAAUGGACGCAAGUCUGAACCAGCCAUGCCGCGUGCGGGAAGACUGCCCUAUGGAUUGUAAACCGCUUUUGUACGAGGGCAAACUCACCCACGUGUGUCUGUCGGAGAGUAUCUUACGAAUAAGCAUCGGCUAACUCCGUGCCAGCAGCCGCGGUAAUACGGAGGAUGCAAGCGUUAUCCGGAUUUAUUGGGUUUAAAGGGUGCGCAGGCGGUCGGGUAAGUUAGGGGUGAAAUCCCGAGGCUCAACUCCGGCAUCGCCGUUGAAACUGGUCGGCUCGAGUGGGAGAGAAGUAUGCGGAAUGCGCGGUGUAGCGGUGAAAUGCAUAGAGAUCGUACAGAACACCGAUUGCGAAGGCAGCAUACC